rnacentral:rRNA from 1 species
GAGCUAGGAGGCGGUUAAGCAGGGUGGGUGGCGACGGUGGUUCCCUGUUUGAGCAGUUAGUUGUGGCGGGACCGCGGAUAUUCUUCCGAGGAGGGGUAAAGAAGUUUGAAAUCGGCUAGUCACAGGAGGUGUUCUUUUUUUAUAUGAUAUUCGUUAUCUUUUAACCAACAGGGAGCAAUUCUUUUAGUUCUUUUUCUAAAGGUAAAGAAGAACUCGAGGGAAGGUGGUGGUUGGAGAGGAGGCCGGCCGGCUUAACAGGGCGAGACCAAACGCAGAAGAGGCCGCUCCUUCAUCGAUCCGGAGGGUGAGGAGGACACUCACCAGAGGAGGGGCGUCCGGACUCCUCUAGAGAGCCCUGGAGCCCUGACCCCGCACAUACUACCCCUAAAGCGAAUACGGCUACUUCUGCGGGUGCGCCGAAGACACCUCGUGGUCGAAGAAGGCGGUGUUCGAGCGGCGGUACUAGCGGAGGAGCAGGACGAAGAAUAUUCUCGGGGAGGCGGCGCGUCGUCGAGAAAGAGACGCUACCUCGGGCCGGCCGAGUAGAAGUUGUGCAGCCCGAGGCCGUUGCCUGUCUACGAGAAGUACCUGACACCGCGCCCGCCAUAGCGGCCGCGCCGGCCGUACAAGGUAGCUCCCCACUCUGGCCAGGAGCCGCCGUACCUUCUUCCCGCGCCGCACUUCGCCGGGAAGAAGUGGAGCGGCCUACUGUACGAGCUCCUCCUCAUGAUGCUGCUCGUCGAGGGCCUCUUCUUCGCCGCGGAGUGGGGCCUCGUCCAGGUGGACGACCUCUCCUCGAAGCUCCUCCUCUUGUUCGACCUCGGCCUCUCCUUCUGCCUCGACCGGGCGUUCGAGCCGGACGUCGGUGCGGUCCACCGGCAGACCAAGGUCUUGGCGGCGCGGGCCACCUUCUGUUUCUGCGACCUCGCGCUGAAGCUGGCGGAGUUCCGCAGGAAGCUGCGGGAGGCGCGGCUGGUGCUGCGGGAGGAGGUCCUGUUGGUGGCCGAGGCCAGUGUCCACCAUUGCAACUGGCUCUUCUACGUUCUAUUCCUCCGCGGCCUUCCGUCGAAGCCACGUCGGCAGCUGCGGAGCCUCGGCCUCGUCCGCCGCCGCCUCCGCCUCCGCUUCUGAAGGAACCGGCUGCGGCUCCUUGUCCGGCGCCGUCGCCUCCGCAAGCUCCACCACGUCGUCGUUGUCGUCGACGUACACUUCCUGCUCCUCUCCGAUUCGGGCCCCUCGCCGCCCUCGCGCCACGACCUGCGCUCCCUGCGCGACGAGCCCUCGCCUACGCCGGAGCGGCCGCACCACCUGUCGUCGCACCUGAGCAUGACGAAGGGCCCCCCGCGGCCGCCGCUGCUCAUGGUGCUCACGCACUACCCGGGGCACCGCCCGCCAUAGGUCAGCCUCCUCCUGCUGCCGCGCCCGUCGCUGCUCCCGACGUCGAUGAUGGGGCUGCUGCGGCGGCAGAAGAAGCGGCGCCGCGUUCCCGUGUCGGUGGUAGUGUGCCUGCUGCUGCUAGUCCUGCUGCCGGUCUAGUCGAUGACCUACACCUUGAUCCGAGCGCGUGCGUAGUUCUUCGCACGCACGCACGCGGCACACCUUAGCUAGUUAAAGCAUAUAGUCAUUUUUUUAGCACCGCAAAACAAAAGAGAGGAACAUACGAAAGGGCGACAUUACAACCCAGCCAUGCUAGCUGGUUCAACAUACGCAUACGUAACAUCAUGCUCAAUCCCAUUAUAUAGCCACCAUUUUAGACAGCACUACAUGCCCUUUAUUCACGUGCCUCAGUUUCGGAGUAAAAAUACCGUGUCAUGUAGUACAGUACAGUUUACUCUAAACUAAAAAUUAGUAGAUGACGAUACAGCAGGCUCAAAA